rnacentral:rRNA from 1 species
GACGAACGCUGGCGGCGUGCUUAACACAUGCAAGUCGAACGGUAAGGCCCUUCGGGGUACACGAGUGGCGAACGGGUGAGUAACACGUGGGUGAUCUGCCCUGCACUUCGGGAUAAGCCUGGGAAACUGGGUCUAAUACCGGAUAGGACUCCUGGCUUCAUGGUUGGGGGUGGAAAGCUUUUGCGGUGUGGGAUGGGCCCGCGGCCUAUCAGCUUGUUGGUGGGGUAAUGGCCUACCAAGGCGACGACGGGUAGCCGGUCGGAGAGGGUGACCGGCAACGCUGGGACUGAGAUACGGCCAAGACUCCUACUGGAGGCAGCAGUUGGGAAUAUUGCUCAAUGGGCGCAAGCCUGAUGCAGCGACGCCGCGUGAGGGAUGACGGCCUUCGGGUUGUAAACCUCUUUCAGCUAUGACGAAGCGCAAGUGACGGUAGUAGCAGAAGAAGGACCGGCCAACUACGUGCCAGCCGCCGCCGUAA